rnacentral:rRNA from 1 species
GCCUACGGGACGCAGCAGUAGGGAAUCUUCCACAAUGGGCGAAAGCCUGAUGGGGCAACGCCGCGUGGGUGAAGAAGGUCUUCGGAUCGUAAAACCCUGUUGUUAGAGAAGAAAGUGCGUGAGAGUAACUGUUCACGUUUCGACGGUAUCUAUCCAGAAAGCCACGGCUAACUACGUGCCAGCAGCCGCGGUAAUACGUAGGUGGCAAGCGUUAUCCGGAUUUAUUGGGCGUAAAGGGAACGCAGGCGGUCUUUUAAGUCUGAUGUGAAAGCCUUCGGCUUAACCGGAGUAGGGCAUUGGAAACU